UACGGGGGGGGGCAAGCGUUGUUCGGAUUUACUGGGCGUAAAGCGCGUGUAGGCGGCUUGGCAAGUCGGAUGUGAAAGCCCACGGCUCAACCGUGGAAGCGCAUCCGAAACGGCCUCGCUCGAGUCUCGGAGAGGAAGGUGGAAUGCUUGGUGUAGAGGUGAAAUUCGUAGAUAUCAAGCAGAACACCUGCGGCGAAGGCGGCCUUCUGGACGAUGACUGACGCUGAGACGCGAAAGCGUGAGGAGCAAACAGG
rnacentral:rRNA from 1 species